rnacentral:hammerhead_ribozyme from 1 species
CACUGCUGAGGAGUCCCAUACUAGGACGAAACGGCUGUCCGGUGG